AGAUUGAACGCUGGCGGCAGGCCUAACACAUGCAAGUCGAGCGGUAGAGAGGUGCUUGCACCUCUUGAGAGCGGCGGACGGGUGAGUAAUGCCUAGGAAUCUGCCUAGUGGUGGGGGAUAACGUUCGGAAACGGACGCUAAUACCGCAUACGUCCUACGGGAGAAAGCGGGGGACCUUCGGGCCUCGCGCCAUUAGAUGAGCCUAGGUCGGAUUAGCUAGUUGGUGAGGUAAUGGCUCACCAAGGCGACGAUCCGUAACUGGUCUGAGAGGAUGAUCAGUCACACUGGAACUGAGACACGGUCCAGACUCCGUACGGGAGCAGCAGGUGGGAAUA
rnacentral:rRNA from 1 species